GGUGAGUAACACCUAUCCAACCUGCCGUCUCCUCUUGGACUGCCUUCUGAAAGGAAGAUUAAUGCCCCAUGGUUUCGAGGGAUUGCAUGGCAACUUGAAUAAAGAUUCAUCGGUAUGCUAGGGAUAUGCGCUCCAUUAGGCAGUUGGCGGGCUCACGGCCCACCAAACCGACGAUGGAUAGGCGUUCUGAGAGGAAGGUCCCCCACAUUUGAACUGAUACACUGUCCCUUCUCCUACGGGAGGCAGCAGUGAUGAAUAUUGGUCACUGUUCGAGAGCCUGAACCAGCCAAGUAGCGUGAAGGAUGACUGCCCUACUGGUUGUAAACUUCUUUUAUAAGGGAAUAAAGUUCUCUACGUGUAGAGUUUUGUAUGUACCUUAUGAAUAAGCAUCUGCUAACUCCGUGCCACCAGCCGCGGUAAUACGGAGGAUGCGAGCGUUAUCCGGAUUUAUUGGGUUUAAAGGGAGCGUAGACGGCCGUUUAAGUCAGCUGUGAAAUGGUGCGGCUCAACCGUAGCACUGCAGUUGAAACUGGACGGCUUGAGUGCAGUUGAGGCAGGCGGAAUUCUUGGUGUACCGGUGAAAUGCUUAGAUAUCACGAAGAACCCCGAUUGCGAAGGCAGCCUGCUAAGGCUGCAACUGACGUUGAGGCUCGAAAGUGUGGGUAUCAAACAGGAUUAGAUACCCUGGUAGUCCACACGGUAAACGAUGGAAUACUCGCUGUUGGCGAUAUACAGUCAGCGGCCAAGUGAAAACGUUAAGUAUCCCACCUGGGGAGUACGCCGGCAACGGUGAAACUCAAAGGAAUUGACGGGGGCCCGCACAAGCGGAGGAACAUGUG
rnacentral:rRNA from 1 species